GGAUGAACGCUAGCGGCAGGCCUAAUACAUGCAAGUCGAGGGAGAUUGUUGGAUUCGUCUGACAUGAAACCGGCGCACGGGUGCGUAACACGUAUGCAACCUACCUUUAACUGGGGUAUAGCUCAGAGAAAUCUGAAUUAAUCCCCCAUAAGACUACGACAUGGCAUCAUGAUGUAGUUAAAGCUCCGGCGGUUAAGGAUGGGCAUGCGGUACAUUAGCUAGUUGGUGAGGUAAUGGCUCACCAAGGCUACGAUGUAUAGGGGGUCUGAGAGGAUGAUCCCCCACACUGGCACUGAGAUACGGGCCAGACUCCUACGGGAGGCAGCAGUAGGGAAUAUUGGGCAAUGGAUGCAAGUCUGACCCAGCCAUGCCGCGUGCAGGAAGAAGGUCCUCUGGAUUGUAAACUGCUUUUAUCGGGGAAGAAUAGGUCUCUUGCGAGGGAUUGUGACGGUACCCGAUGAAUAAGCCACGGCUAACUACGUG
rnacentral:rRNA from 1 species